rnacentral:rRNA from 1 species
CCUACGGGUGGCAGCAGUGAGGAAUAUUGGUCAAUGGGCGCGAGCCUGAACCAGCCAAGUAGCGUGAAGGAUGAAUGCCCUACGGGUUGUAAACUUCUUUUAUAAAGGAAUAAAGUGAGGCACGUGUGCCUUUUUGUAUGUACUUUAUGAAUAAGGAACGGCUAACUCCGUGCCAGCAGCCGCGGUAAUACGGAGGAUCCGAGCGUUAUCCGGAUUUGUUGGGUUUAAAGGUAGCGUAGAUGGGUUGUUAAGUCAGUUGUGAACGUUUGCGGCUCAACCGUAAAAUUGCAAUUGAUACUGGCAGCCUUGAGUACAGUUGAGGUAGGCGGAAUUCGUGGUGUAGCGGUGAAAUGCUUAGAUAUCACGAAGAACCCCGAUUGCGAAGGCAGCUUACUAAACUGUGACUGACAUUGAUGCUCGAAAGUGUGGGUAUCAAACAGGAUUAGAUACCCUUGUAGUC